rnacentral:misc_RNA from 1 species
AACCUAGCACACCUGCGGUGUGUACCUGCGGAAGGAUCAUUACAUGGCGGAGGAGGUGGGCACCUAGUAACCCUGGGUGUGUUGCCUUCACGCUUUCUACCCUUGUCUAUUUGCACCUUUUGUCGUUCCCUCGGUGGGUCUUGAACCUGCCGACGGCAACUUUCAAAACCUUUUGCAGUAGUAUCUAAUUCUUCUGAUUCAAAUAUCAAAUCGUUACAACUUUCAACAAUGGAUCUCAGA